GACGAACGCUGGCGGCGUGCUUAACACAUGCAAGUCGUACGGUAAGGCCCUUUCGGGGGUACACGAGUGGCGAACGGGUGAGUAACACGUGCGUAACUUGCCCACCACUUUGGGUUAACGCUCGGCAACUGGUGCUAAUUCAUGAUAUGUGCUCCUGCCGCCUGGUUGGUGUUGGAAAGCUCCGGCGGUUGUGGGUGGACUCGCGGCCUAUCAGCUUGGUGGUGGGGUGGGGGGCUACCAAGGCGGCCACGGGUAGCCGGCCUGAGAGGGUGAGCGGCCACAAUGGGGCCGGGAUACGGGCCAGAAUCCUACGGGGGGCAGCAGUGGGGAAUAUUGCACAAUGGGCGCGAGCCUGAUGCAGCAACGCCGCGUGCGGGAUGACGGCCUUCGGGUUGUAAACCGCUUUCAGCAGGGACGAAGCUGUGUGUGACGGUACCGGCAGAAGAAGCACCGGCUAACUACGUG
rnacentral:rRNA from 1 species